UACGUAGGGUCCGAGCGUUGUCCGGAAUUACUGGGCGUAAAGAGCUCGUAGGUGGUUUGUCGCGUUGUUCGUGAAAACUCACAGCUCAACUGUGGGCGUGCGGGCGAUACGGGCAGACUUGAGUACUGCAGGGGAGACUGGAAUUCCUGGUGUAGCGGUGGAAUGCGCAGAUAUCAGGAGGAACACCGGUGGCGAAGGCGACUCUUUGGCCUGUAACUGACGCUGAGGCGCGAAAGCGUGGGGAGCAAACAGG
rnacentral:rRNA from 1 species